GAUGAACGCUGGCGGCGUGCUUAACACAUGCAAGUCGAACGAAGCACUUUAUUUGAUUUCCUUCGGGACUGAUUAUUUUGUGACUGAGUGGCGGACGGGUGAGUAACGCGUGAGUAACCUGCCUUGUACAGGGGGAUAACAGUUGGAAACGGCUGCUAAUACCGCAUAAGCGCACAGCAUCGCAUGAUGCAGUGUGAAAAACUCCGGUGGUAUAAGAUGGACCCGCGUUGGAUUAGCUAGUUGGUGAGGUAACGGCCCACCAAGGCGACGAUCCAUAGCCGACCUGAGAGGGUGACCGGCCACAUUGGGACUGAGACACGGCCCAAACUCCUACGGGAGGCAGCAGUGGGGAAUAUUGCACAAUGGGCGAAAGCCUGAUGCAGCGACGCCGCGUGAGCGAAGAAGUAUUUCGGUAUGUAAAGCUCUAUCAGCAGGGAAGAUAAUGACGGUACCUGACUAAGAAGCACCGGCUAAAUACGUG
rnacentral:rRNA from 1 species